GUUCUGUGUUCUCUCCUUUCCGCCCUGACUUGCUCUGAGUUCCUCUUUCAUUUCUAUAAAUUCGACUACUUUACAUACCUCACGUAAGUGGAAUCUUAGGGUAUUUGAGUUUCUGUGAUGUGCUUAGUUCACUUAGCAGCAAGUCAGAAUCAUCUCCUUGUCUAAACCUGGACAACACCCCACUAUACACAGAUGCCCCAUGUUCUUCAUCCUCUCCUCUGUCUGUGGACACGUUGGCUGCUUCUACCUCUUGACUCUUGAGAAUUACACAGCAAUGUACGGGGAUGCUCAUAAACUGCCUCCAAUUCUUAUGGAUAUAAAAUCUGAACUGAGUUUGUGCGAUCACAUGAGGAGACCAGCUGAGCGUCAUCGUCACAAAGAAGGCAGCUGACAGUCCACUUCCAAUGUGACUCUUUUCUCCAGAUGAUACUUCCGUGUGACCCAAGCCAGUGAGGUCCCCAGAACCCCAGGCUGAAUUCCGUAUCAUGUGACAGGACGUCUUACACUCGGACUCAGAGACUCAGUAUAUUCAAGCUGCAUGAGGAAUCGAAACAGAAGACACUCAGGAGAAGAUGUAGUUUGGAUUAUUAUGUUAUUCUACUUGGGCCUGUAAAGCACAGACGUGCAAGUGAUCCCAACCGAACACAGAAAACAAAGAAGACGAAAGGAUGCAAAUGGUUAGUAGUGACCCGACUGGUGACUCUCCGACUCCUUAGCUGCGACGUACAGGACAGCACUGGCAGGGCACCAGCAGGGCGGCCAGGAAACAGCGUCCCAGGCUGUGGCUCAGGAAGGGGCUGCUCCAGGUGGGACCCCGCUCCACUCCGUGUGCUCUGUGUGCUGUCCCACCGCCCACCCAAAUCCAUCCUAACCGAGUCGGAAGACCUCCCAGCCCAGGCCAAAGCCGUGAGGAUCGCGUCCUGCUGGUCUCUCACAGAAGCUGGGACCCAGCGGAACCAGUGCCCGUAGGCCCUCUCGUCCGUCUCAUCUGCACGCAUAAUUCAAUCGUUCACUUCUGGUCUUCGCACAGGCUCAGCCUGCACGCGACUCCUCCUGAUACAGGUCUUGCCCUCCACUGGCUGCUGAAGCAAGGAUCCUGAGAGUCACUAUUGAAUCUUUCAGCUCCUCCCUGCCCCAUGUGGAAACUGUCACCAAAGCCUCCAUAGGUCCCCCACCUGCCCCAAUAUUUCUCCUAUUUCUCUAUCACCUGCUUGUGCCCUACAACCAUGUGUCCACACUGUCCUUUCCUGUGUGGACCUGGCUGGAUCUAACCGGGCUUCCGAGGGGAUUAGGUUCCUAUGGUUGCUGUAACAAAUUAC